AACGAACGCUGGCGGCAUGCCUAACACAUGCAAGUCGAACGAGACCUUCGGGUCUAGUGGCGCACGGGUGCGUAACGCGUGGGAACCUGCCCUUAGGUUCGGAAUAACUCCCCGAAAGGGGUGCUAAUACCGGAUAAUGUCUUCGGACCAAAGAUUUAUCGCCUUUGGAUGGGCCCGCGUUGGAUUAGCUAGUUGGUAGGGUAAAAGCCUACCAAGGCGACGAUCCAUAGCUGGUCUGAGAGGAUGAUCAGCCACACUGGGACUGAGACACGGCCCAGACUCCUACGGGAGGCAGCAGGGGGGAAAUUUGGAAAAUGGGCGAAAGCCUGAUCCAGCAAUGCCGGGUGAGUGAUGAAGGCCUUAGGGUUGUAAAGCUUUUUUCCCCGGGAUGAUAAUGACAGUACCGGGAGAAUAAGCCCCGGCUAACUCCGU
rnacentral:rRNA from 1 species